rnacentral:miRNA from 1 species
GUAGAGGAGAUGGCGCAGGGUCCUCUUCUCCCUCCUCCCAG